rnacentral:misc_RNA from 1 species
AAUUUAGUUAAAUUCUCUUAAAAUGGUAAGUCAAAAUUUUUAACUUAAAAUAAAAAGUUGCAAAUAUUAAACUAAUUUAUUAGAUUUUAGUAUUUUAUUUUCAGAACAUGCCAAACAACUUAACAAUUUAAAAUUUUCAACAUUUAUCUAAUGCAAUUCUAAAAUUUAGCUCUUAUAUUUUCAGAUUUAAUUUUCAGUUUUACCAAACACCAACUAAGUCUCUA